UUCUGGUUAGCAGUGGGAUAACAAACCAGCAGUGAUAGGCAGUGAGAGUUUACCAAUGUAGGUUACAACAUCCAGCCAUCAUUAUACAGGGAUGAUUGCUGCUUUUUAGAGAAUUCUGCUUGGUACAUUUGUGUAGCUACUAGAGUCUAGACUUGGUAAAAGAUGGGUAGUUAGGAGUGAGAGUGUUUGGGAUAUAUGUAAAAAAAACUUUUGCUGCAAAUGUACAAAUAUUUUUUUUCUCGAAACCAAUAAUGCACCAGGUCAUUGGCUUGGUGUCUGUGAAUAUUUUGAUUUUGUGCAAAAUCUGUCCCCAGUUAUUUUGUUUUUAAAUUUACUAUUAAAAUGAGUGCUUGUUUUAUUAAAUUGGAUUGCCUAUGAUGAAUUAUCCUUUAGUUUCAGAUAAGUGGUUCUCCUUAAUGAAGAAGCCAUUUGAAAGGUCGGAAGUAAAGAAAUAGCAGUUGCUCUGUGCUAUCAGAAAGAAACAGAAAACCUGCCACGUUAUACAUUAGUGGUCUGUUCAUUUCCGAGUCUUGAAGGUAAGUAACGUCUUUAGCUUUUUUGGAAAUGUGAUAUUACAUUUUCUACAGUUUUUUAAACUACAGUUCCAUGCACACAUUUGGACACCCCUGACCAAAUUACAUAUUUUGCUGACAUUUAAAGUAAUCAAAAUAGUAAUUACAACUUCUACAACAUACAAACUAAACAGAAUUAUUAUGAAAAUAUUAAUGUACAAUUCUAAUAUAUUUGAACUGAAAAAAUGCAAACAAAUAAGAGUAAUUAUUGCAUUUGCAGAAGUUUGGACACAAUUUAAGUUGAAAAGCCUCACAACUCAUUAGGUCAUUAGUCUUGUCAAAAAUUGCAGAUACUUCUUAAUAACAAUUCUAGAACCUAAUAAAUUAUUUGACUUUUCAAACAUUAUGCAACACACAACAACCUUGGGCUCUUCUGAGUACAGUAUAUGAAAAUUAAACUAAUUUAUACUUGCAAAGCAGGGGAAGGCUAUUAAAAAAAGGUUAUUAAAGUGCUUCCAGCUAGAAGUUUCCACAGUCCAAAUUGUCAUUAAGAAAUUGCAGUUAAAGGGAACUGUGGAGGUCAAGACAAGAUACGCGCCAAGAAAACUGAAAGAGAGAACAGCAGAGAAGCAACGAAAACGCCCAAAUGGCAGUAAGGACCUGCAGGCAGGUUUAGCUGAGAAAGGAGUGGUGGUGCACUGCUGUACUGUGCUACGUUACUUACCACAGGUAAUGACUAUUAUGGAAGAUCACCAAAGGAAAUCUUAUCUGUGACCCCAUCACAAAAAACAUCUGCACAAGAUAGAGGCAUUUUGGAAACAAGUGCUUCUGGACAGAUGACGUUAAAAUUGAACCCUUACCAGAGCCACAAAAAAUGGAGCAGAAAACCGCACCUUGGCAGCUGUUUAGUACAGUGGCUAGAGCCAUAAAGCUGCAAUUGUGUGGCAGCUUGUGGCUCAGGGAAUAUUGUAUGAGUGCAGGGACAAAUGGAUUCCACUAAAUAUCAAAAAAUCUUCAAGGAGAAUGUGAGACAGCCAGGGAGCUAAAGGAAAAAAAUCUAAAACACACAUGAAAUCUAAUAUGAAGUACCUCAAGAAGCACAAAUAUUUUGCCAUUAAAGUGCCAUAUUACAUGCCUUCUAAGCUGAGUAUGUGAGCAGUCGCUCCUGCAUUUUAGGAGCAUCUCUCACAAAAAGAUGCGACUUUUCAAACAAGAUUAAACUAUCAAAAUGAAUUAAACUAAAUCAGUUACCCACCUGAUGUAAGCGAAUUUCAAACAAAUUUGAACUUUGUGGAAUAGUCUGUGCUGUUGUUUCCAUGUCACUUUAACCAUGUCUAAGCACAAAGCCGACGAGUGUUCAAAUAAUACAUCAAAGAAACAGUGUUUGGGGUUUAAGUCAGAAUGUUUCCUGGACAGCACAUGCUUCUGGGAAAUUUUUUUAACUGCUCAUAGUUGGAUUGGUCAUUUGCAAAAUUUGCCUGAAAAAAAGAUGGUCUCAGAUGGGAUUAUUUUUACUUUUGGACAUUUGUGGCACAUUCCAGGUUGUAAGUGCUGAAUGUGAAAGAGGAUUUAGUGUAAUGAACAAUAUAGAAGCAAAAUCUAGAAAUCACUUACAGUAUUUACUGAGCAUUUGGAAUACUUGAUGAGAAGAAGUAAACUCUGUCGAUUCUGAACAUAUUGUUAAUGAUGGCACAGUUUACAAUUUAUGGAAGUCAGAAAAGCAGGAGGAGAAGCUGUUUGAAUAUUCGGUGAAAUUUAAAGUAGAAACUGCCGUUUUAUUAACAAAUGAUCAGUUUUUUAAUACUUAACACUAAAUACUACAUGCAAUUCAGUAAAUCAUGUGCAUGAUGGGUUUUUGUUUUGUGCAUUUGCUAAUACUGGUGCUCAAAUUAUUUAUUUUUUAGCUUGUUGAUCAUGGGAAGGAAAAGUUGCCAGGCCAAUGUCACCUUUUUUUCUUCUUUAAAAUUGGCUGAAUUGCCAUAUUGCUGUGACCUCUGACGUUCUUGAAUUUCCUGAUUGAGUCUUGUACAAUUUGACAGCCCACAGGCAAAUAAGUGUAGAAGAUAUAUAAGGUCAAUGUGUUACAUUUAUCCAUUUGUUAACUGGGUUAGUCACUGUCAUUAUCUGAGCUAUAAUUUUUUUGCUUGCUUCUCUUGCACAAUAAGCAAAAACUGUCAAACCACUUUUUUUCUUUUUUUUUAAUUCUAAAAAUGUUUAUGAUGUUUACUUUCUAACCCCCAUCCAGCACAACUAAAGAACUGGAGAAAGCUCUGCAGUGAUCCAGCCUGUGAACAGUACUCACCCUUCUAGAUGUGACAGGCUGCCCUGGUUCAGUUAUCAGAGUGCUGAUGCUGUCCACUUUAAAGGUACAGUACUGUGAUAACUGAAGGAUGGCAGCCAUCUUGGCACCUGAUUCCCUCAAUGGUUAAAUACAGUGCAGGAGGUAACAAAAGUGAGUCUUCUUAAAAGGGCUGAUUAGGGAUGUUUCAGUUCAUGAAGGUGUUACUGUCAGUUUUCCUUUCCUUAUUAAUGAUAUGACUGAAGGGCACUUCUGGUAGCUAAGCAUGGCUCCUGUAGGUCUACUCUAAGAAAUAUCUCCUGGCUUGCUUCUAGGUCUCCUAGAGUGGCCAUUGGUUUUUUGAAAGGACACAAGCAUAUUCAAGUCUUAUUGGCUUCUAAUGUAGAUUUUCUAGACUGGUUGUCUGGCCUAGUAGCUAAAGAGCUGGACUGGAAUCCACAAAUUUGCAGUUUUAGUCAACUUUGUUUACUGACCCAGAGGCUUUGAACAUAGAGCAUGCCCUCUCCGUUUCAGAUUUUUGACAAUUCUUUUUGCACCCCUGUAAAGUAGGCAGGAUUGAGAAUACAGGCUAGUGCAGGUUCACUACUCAUUCAAGAACAUUUGUCACCAUUAAGUACUUGGGCACCACUAGGGAGUAAUGUAUUUUGUGUGUGUGUUUGCAAGCGUGCCCCAGAAAGACUAUCUUUCGAAAGGUACAGCAGAGGCAUAGACAGAGUGAGGUCAAGUAGGGAAACCAGAGGUUGGCUAUACUUCAAGACAAGCAGAAGUCCCACUACAAAAUAAGUAGGGUAGCAGCAGAACUGCCAAUGGAUAACUGGCCUUUUAGGGCAUUUGGGAAGCUCAGGGGUACAGAGACGCCAGACUUGAUGUCCCUAGAGCACAUACAGAAUGUCCCGCAAGUGAUUCCAGGACAUGGCUGAAAAGACCCCUGAAAAAAAAAGGUUUUAAAACACCUCCUGGACGAAAUGGCAUCAGCUUUAAUCCAGGCUCCCAGCUUAAACGGGUGACUGAUCAGAAGAAAAUUGAAGGAAGAGAGAAGGGUAAGGUGAAAGGGCAUGUUUGGGUGCUUGAGGUAAGUUUUGGACAAAUGCCAUCCUAGAGACAAUCAGGGAUGAGGGUUUGUUCUAAGGAUGCAUUACAUGUUUGUUGUUUAUCUCUUAAUUAUGUGUUUCUUUUUUUGUUUCUUUCUUGUCUUAUUUUACCAAUAAACUUAUUUUAUUGAGCA